GGGUUGCUGCUCCCUGUGCUGGAGAAACCGCUUCACACCUGCAGAGGUCGGUCAGUUUGCAGAGGUCAUUAAAACCCUCCCACCCUGACUUUCAUGUGGUGGAUCUUAUUAAACAAAACAGCGAUAUUUCAGUGGCUGCUGCUUAUACCACAGGCUAACACACUCUACAGAUCCCUGAUGGGCUCCUUCAACAAAGAUGUUUAGUAGAUGCUGGUCUGCAGUUUGAUGCUCAGCAUCUCCAAAGUUUGUUCCUUGUUUAUUAUUCAUUCAUACACAGUAAUGUGAUAUCUAGUAAUAGUAUAAUUGUGUCAACCUGGUGCUCUUCUUUUAUGAAGAAUUAAUAUUGGAGUGUGAAUGUUGGAGCCUGUGUAUCUGUGUUCUCUGGGCUUUUCUGACCUCGGUCUUUUUGCAGGCUCAGACCACAAAGCCCGUAUUACUGCACAUGUUUCUUUCUCAGGUGGACGGUGAUAUGAUGGUGACCCGGGCUGCCUCCUUUGGUCUUGUUGGAAGCAAAGCUCAGGAAGAAGGAAUCCCUGCAGUCCUGUCCUUUUAGCUCCAAGCCUGCUCAGAGCUUUAAUCCCAGAGGAAGCAGAGCAGCAGACAGUUUGAGGGGUUUGGGCUCACAGAUGGUGACAGCAUGGAGAGACUGUGGUCCUUCCCCUGAAGAACUGCAGGAGUCACAGAGGAGAUGACUCCAUCUCACUGUCUGGACUUGCUGACUGAUGUUCUUCUGCACUGCAGAUGCUGACUGUGACCUCAGAGGCCAUCUGGUCUGUAGAGUUAGAAGUGAAUCAAGGCAGAGGGCGGUCUGCCUGCAGCUUAAGAGAAAACAUCCAGACUCAGAUGGGCAGGAUCUCAGCAUCAGACUGUCCAAACAGGCUCCAGCUUCAACAGCAGACUGAGACAGAAACAAGAGGAAACAGCAGCUUCAGUGGGCUCCACAGGUCAAAGGUAACGUUUCAAGGGGGUCUUCAGAGAGAAGGGACUGAUGUCACGUGUCGAUCACAGCGAUUUAUGAAGAUGACAGCGAGAGCAGCUACGACUGUAAAAGUCCGACCACGACUGUUUUGCUGCUUCCUGAUUAUUAAUGAAUGUUAUGAGCAUGUUUGUGUCUUUU